rnacentral:rRNA from 1 species
UACGUAGGUGACAAGCGUUGUCCGGAUUAACUGGGCGUAAAGAGCGCGCAGGCGGUCGUUCAAGUCGAGUGUGAAAGCCCCCGGCUCAACUGGGGAGGGUCAUUCGAUACUGAUCGACUCGAAGGCAGGAGAGGGAAGUGGAAUUCCCGGUGUAGUGGUGAAAUGCGUAGAUAUCGGGAGGAACACCAGUGGCGAAGGCGACUUCCUGGCCUGUUCUUGACGCUGAGGCGCGAAAGCUAGGGGAGCAAACGGG